UCUCCGUUGGUGAACCAGCGGAGGGAUCAUUACCGAGUUCCAGCAACUCCCAACCCUUGCGAGCCGUACCCCAGUCUGUUCUCGUUGCUUCCGGCAGGCGGGGGGGGCCACCUGGCCCCUCCCCCUGCCGGGGGCGGCGGGCCCUCUGAACCUAUGUAUCUCAACCACUGAAACCCGUCUGAGCAAAACAAAAAAUAAUCAAAACUUUCAACAACGGAUCUCUUGGCUCUG
rnacentral:misc_RNA from 1 species